GUCACUCAGGUAGAACAGUCUCAAAUCGCACCGUUAGUACCGGCCCCCUUUGCCUUUCUACCUUGCCCCUCCGAGUCCCGACCCAAGAUCCCAAGUAAUCGUCUUCCCCCUGCACCAGGGCCGGGACCAGGCAGCCAAGAAACGCGGAGACAGACUACUGGGACUGCGACGUCUCCUCUCCUGUUCGCUGCGAUAUGCCGGCGUCGUGUUGAGCGGGCUGCGGACACAGACAGCCUGCCCGGCCCCACUGAGUGUUUGAUCCCCAUCCUCGCAGCUCUCUAGAGGACCAGAGUUGGCGGUGCAGCCCAGCGGAGCUUCGAAGCGACAUGUCCUCCAACAUUUUAGCCCAGCAAGUCUUGUGGCCCCUGAGGAUAUAACCCAGAGAGGGCUGCUUUCUGGGAUUUCUCGGCUGUGGUUCAAGUGGAGUACACACAGUUGAGACCCUGUCUGCCCUGGGCAGCUUUCUUGACCCUUGGGGGACCAGCUCACAAUAAAUCCUAGGCUUCUGUUGCUCCUUGCUGCCUAUCCAUAAGCAAUAAACCUGCUUCAGCUCAUUCA
rnacentral:lncRNA from 10 species